UAAUUAUUUUUGAUGAAUUAAAUGCAAAUUUAUAUUCGAAAUUAUGAGUAAACAUAAUGCAUAACAUUUCAAAUAUGUCUAUCAUAGCUGUAAAAUAUUGCAGUUUUUCUAUUUUGUUGACUAUAAAAGUCCCUUAGAUUCCCUAUGUGUAAAAUAUUUAGUACAUUAUGCAAAAAUUAUUCUGGAAUUUAUAUUAUUUCAUAAAAUCUACUGGAUUUGUUUCUUUUCCGUGUUGGCAGCUAUGAUUUAAAUACUCGUACUAACAAAAAUCAUUGGUUUAAUUGUUAGCUUUAUUAAAUUUGUUGCAAUAAAUAUUUAUUACUUCUAAUUAACAAUUUUGGUAAAAAAACCUUUUUUUAAGAGAACAAAAAUCUUCAAAAAGAGUUAUCGAGAAUAAUGGCCUAUUAGCUUGAGUGAAUAACUGUUGCUCUGAAUAAACCCUUCUGAGCACAAUGAAUUUUUAUUCAAACUAACCAAAGUUGUUUUGUAAGAAGUAAGUAUUUUUUUGAAUUAGUUACUAUAAAAGUGCGAUAUCAUACAUUGUUACCUAAUUUUAAUUAUAAAUGCUAAUUCUUAAAACUAUGUUAACUAGGAAACAUCUUUGGUUGAUAUAUGUAGAUUUUUUGCACAUUGAAUUUUCAGGGUUUUUCACUUUGUGUCACAAUCACCCCUGAUUACAUUAACUAUGCAUGAUAAACAGUUCUAUUUAAUGUAACAAAUUAAUUAAACUUCUUUUGAAAUUAAUCUUUUCAAACAGUUAUUGUAAAUAAGAACUAACUAGUUUGUGUGAGUAAUAAUCAGUUACUUCAGUAACUUACUUAAGUAACUUCACUCAAUAGACUAUAUAUCAUAUUACCAAUUUGUAUUGGGAAAUAUGAAAUAUCAAUAACUAAUAUUAUAGUAUUCCAUAUCAUAUCAUUUCAUAUUAAUUUUGUCAUAUUAACCAUCCCUUUUAUUUAUAAAUUAUAUGAUUUUAUGCUUGCUAUCUAAUUUAUACUAUAUUAUGAUGUUCACUGUAAAAAAAUUUGAAUUUUUCUUAUUAUGUUAUUUAAACCUAUCUAUCAAACUGACAUAAAUUUGAAAUACUUUAGUUUUAAUUUAUUGAACAAAUCAUCUAAAACAUAAAUAUUAUAUAUAGGCGUUUUUUCAACUACGAGUUGGGAAAUAAUUUUUAAUUGUGAUUUCUGGUUAGGUUCUGCUCUCAAAAAUUCGAUCUUAUCAUGAUUAUUUGUUUCUGAUCUUCUGAAAUAUUUUUUAAACUCUUAACAUUUUUCUAAGUAUUAACAUAAAAAUUUUUUUUUAUUGAAUAGUUAUUUUUAUAUACUGUAAUUUGUAUGCUGUUAUGAUUAGUUUCCAUUUUUUAGAUUCUCCCUAUUAAAAAUUUUCAUUUUUUUUUAUUAAGUUAGAUAUGUUGUAUUUUUUUUAUUUGGUGUGACAGGAGGAAAAGUGUAUUUGUUUGCAUUUAGUAAAACUUUGUUUUUUUAAAGUAUCUUAUAAAUUAAAAAAUUUUUAAUAACUCUUUAGUAUAUUCUUUCUCCUGCUUUGCAUUUCUGAUUUUCGCAAAUUUUCCAGUUACAAAAAAAUUUCAUUUAAAGUGUUUUUAACAACUUUUUAGUUUAUUUCAUGACAUUUGACAUUAAUGUAAUGUACAAAAUAUUUUUAAAAAUUGUAACCUUCUAAUUAAUGGAUUAAUGUUAUAAUUUUUUCAAAAAUAGUGAUAUUUUCUAUCAAUUUCAAUAAUGUCAAUGUAGUACAAUCACUUUUCAUUUGUCAAAAACCUUUUUUAUAAAAUUACACCAAAUGUUAAUUCAUAUUUUCUGUAGCAAAAUUAAACAAUUAUGUAAUUUAUGAGCUUUAAAUAAAUUAUUUUUAUUAUUUGUCUGUAUUAUUUUUCUUGAAAAUAAUGUUACUGCACCUCAUCUCUCAAUCGUUAAAAGUUGAUAAAACUGAAAUUUCUUUCAUUCUAACUGUUCAAAAUCAUUAACCAGUAGAAUAAUUUACCACAGUCUAAAUUUUAUUCUAACUGCUGGUACUUUGAAUGGCAGAUUGCUAGGUGGAUUAUUCAAUGAACCUGUGAAACUGAUUAUGAUAUUUUCAUGAUUAUGUUGUUUUUUAAAUAUUUAUGUAUUGAGUUACAUAUUUACAAAGAAAGAGUUUUAAGUUAGCAGAAGGAGAGGACAAAAGUUCAUUUUUAUUUCCGUAUUUAAUUCUAAUACAUUUUGCAGAUUUUUGAAUUAACUUAUUGGUACAUACAGAAUUUUUAAAAAAUAAUCUCUGUCUGAAAAAUUACUAGCGCUUUAUUAUUCUUUAAUACUGCUGAUGAGAAUUGCUGCUUAGACUCCAGAUUAUCGUGACAAACCCAAGUCUCAUUCCCAGCAACAAUACAACACAGCACUUCAAAUUUUGACAAAAUUUGCCCCACAAUGCUAAAGAACAUCAUAUAUUUUCUAAUUAUGCGUAUUAGUAGAUGGAUAUAUACUAUAAUAUUUAUACAAAUAAUUAGUUACUAAACACAUGACUACAUAUAGGAGUUUCUUAUUUAACAUUUAAUUUUGCCAUUCUGUGAACUUAAAACUUCCUAAUGUAUGAAUGUAUUAUUUUUUAAUCUUUCAUGUUCUUUGUUAUUUUGUAAGAGUUUUUCUAUGCUAUCGAAAAUUUAUAAAGUUAAACAUUGAUUUUCAGAGUUUUUAUGUAUUUAAAUGUUUUCAAACUGUAAAGAUGAAUAUAUUUAUGAUUAAUCUCAAAACUUUUUAUUUGUAAAAUCAUAACUUCUGCAUUUAAAAUCACUUUAUUCCAUGCUUAUUUUUACAGGUGGUGGCAGCAGUUCUCAUUUAAGUGCAUACGUAUGUUCUGAUACAGUUUUAGGCAACAAGAUUCGUAAGCUCUAUUACUGCCUCUAUUGUAACCAUAAAAGUGUUAAUUCUUGUGGAAUGAAGAUGCACGUGGCAGUGUGACGUUGGACCAGAAUACAUUUAUGUGUACCAAUGUCUUCUUCCAGAAUCAUUCUCGUAAACUCUAUCGUUGCCUCUUUUGCAAACACUCCAGUUUUGAUCUCUUUGGAAUGAGGAUGCAUGUUCGAAUUCACACGGGAGAGAAGCCUUUCCACUGCAAGAUGUGUGGAAAUAUUAAAUCAUUACGUCGCAGUACAGAAGUUGCAAUAAGGGCAGAGUCUUACCUAUUGUUUCCUGUGAGGAGAGUUGUUAUCGACAAUGUCAACCUUCAUCUAUGAUAAGGAAAUACUGAAUCAUUACAUCACUGUACAGAAGUUGCAAUGGGGAAAGGCAGAGUCUUACGUCGAUGCAAUUUGUGCAACUAUUCUACAUCACAUUUAAAUGAUAUGAGAAGACACAUUAGAAUACAUACUGGUGAACGUCCAUAUGUUUGCCCCUUGUGUAAAAAGGGAUUUUCCAGAAGGAGUACUCUGAAAGACCAUAUGAUAACACAUGUUUCUUUGGUAUAAUUCAUGUUAGAAUGUAUAAGAUUUGGUAAAUUGUCCAAGAUUUCAAAAUGCAGGGUUUUCUCUGAGUGCCACCUUAUAUAUAUAUUGUUUUUUUAUAUUGCUUCAAAAAAUGAACGUGUAUAUAUAAGACUCUGCAAUACCUGUGGAUCUUUCUUUUUAUUGUGAUUAGCUUAAUUAAAGCAAAUAAGAUGCCUUUGUGUUUUCUCCCUUAGAUAGGGAUUUAAACCCCAAUAAUUUUAAACAGUAAAUAAUUUUAGACAAGGUAACUGGUUUACUUGUAAUGAUUGUUAUGUUAUAUAGUCAUUAUUCGGAUGUGUGAUGCUGGAAAAAACUGAACCAUUAAUACAGUCAAACCUCGCUAACGUGGAAUUGGCGGGACUAUCAUAAUUAUUUCAUGUUAACCGAAUUUUAUUCUAUCCGAUACAUCAUGAAAACAACUUAAGUAUUAUUAAUACAUGUUAUGAACUGUAUUAAUGUAUACAUACAAUACUAUCAUGAACCAAACAAAUCAAAAUAAGCUUAAAAGUUUUAACUAUUUUAUUAUUUUAUUUAUUUGCCCAUCUGCUACUUCUAACAAAGGAAGAAAUAGAAAUAGCAUUAUUCAAAAUGAAUGAGUGGGAUUUUAUUCACGUGCUUAUUAUCUGUCCCUUCUCUUUUCAUGUUAAGCAAUAAUCAGCUUGAAAAUUUCAUGUUAAGCAUGUAAAGUACAACAAUAAUUGAUUGCUGUUUCACGGGACCAAUCAUUCAUUUCAUGUUAAGCAGUUUCAGGUUAAUGAAGUUCGACUGUAUUAUAAAAAUUUAAAGACUAAGAUAGGAACAUAUGUAUAAAGAGUACAUUAAAAACUUUCUCUGUAUAAGAAUUGCCAGCGAUAAAUUGAGAACACUAUCAUAGUAGAUUUUGUAUAUUAACAAUAUCAUUCAAUUUAUAUAUAUAAAUUCUUGAUUGAAUUUUAAUACAGUCAUUAGCAAAAUUCUUUUUUUCUU